UACAGAGGUCUCAAGCGUUGUUCGGAUUCAUUGGGCGUAAAGGGUGCGUAGGCGGCGGGGCAAGUCAGGUGUGAAAUCCCGGAGCUCAACUCCGGAACUGCACUUGAUACUGCCUCGCUAGAGUACUGGAGAGGAGACUGGAAUUUACAGUGUAGCAGUGAAAUGCGUAGAGAUCGUAAGGAAGACCAGUGGCGAAGGCGAGUCUCUGGACAGUUACUGACGCUGAGGCACGAAGGCCAGGGGAGCAAACGGG
rnacentral:rRNA from 1 species